GAAAUGCGAUAAGUAGUGUGAAUUGCAGAAUUCAGUGAAUCAUCGAAUCUUUGAACACACAUUGCGCCCCUUGGUAUUCCAUGGGGCAUGCCUGUUCGAGCGUCAUUUGUACCUUCAAGCUUUGCUUGGUGUUGGGUGUUUGUCUCGCCUCUGCGCGCAGACUCGCCUCAAAACAAUUGGCAGCCGGCGUAUUGAUUUCGGAGCGCAGUACAUCUCGCGCUUUGCACUCAUAACGACGACGUCCAAAAAGUACAUUUUUUACACUCUUGACCUCGGAUCAGGUAGGGAUACCCGCUGAACUUAAGC
rnacentral:misc_RNA from 1 species